rnacentral:rRNA from 1 species
CCCUGGCGGCAGGCCUAACACAUGCACGUCGAGCGGAAACGAGUUAUNUGACCCUUCGGGUGACGAUAACGGCGUCGAGCGGCGGACGGGUGAGUAAUGCCUGGGAAAUUGCCCUGAUGUGGGGGAUAACCAUUGGAAACGAUGGCUAAUACCGCAUAAUAGCUUCGGCUCAAAGAGGGGGACCUUCGGGCCUCUCGCGUCAGGAUAUGCCCAGGUGGGAUUAGCUAGUUGGUGAGGUAANGGCUCACCAAGGCGACGAUCCCUAGCUGGUCUGAGAGGAUGAUCAGCCACACUGGAACUGAGACACGGUCCAGACUCCUACGGGAGGCAGCAGUGGGGAAUAUUGCACAAUGGGCGCAAGCCUGAUGCAGCCAUGCCGCGUGUAUGAAGAAGGCCUUCGGGUUGUAAAGUACUUUCAGCAGUGAGGAAGGUGGGUAUGUUAAUAGCAUACUCAUUUGACGUUAGCUGCAGAAGAAGCACCGGCUAACUCCGUGCCAGCAGCCGCGGUAAUACGGAAGGUGCCAGCGUUAAUCGGAAUUACUGGGCGUAAAGCGCAUGCCGGUGGAUGAUUAA